rnacentral:rRNA from 1 species
GACGAACGCUGGCGGCGUGCUUAACACAUGCAAGUCGAACGGUGAAGCGCCUUCCUUUUUGGUGGGUGUGGAUGAGUGGCGAACGGGUGAGUAACACGUGAGUAACCUGCCCCCUUCUUCUGGAUAACCGCAUGAAAGUGUGGCUAAUACGGGAUAUUCUGGGUCUGUCGCAUGAUGGGUCUGGGAAAGAUAUUGUUUCGGUGGGGGAUGGGCUCGCGGCCUAUCAGCUUGUUGGUGGGGUGGUGGCCUACCAAGGCGGUGAGGGGUAGCCGGUCUGGGAGGGUCGGCCGUCACGGUAGGACUGAGACGCGGACCCGACUCCGACGGGAGGCAGCAGGGGAGAAUAGUGCACGAUGGGCGCAAGCCUGAUGCAGCGACGCCGCGUGGGGGAUGGAGGCCUGCGGGUUGUGAACCUCUUUCGCCAGUGAAGCAGGCCUGCCUCGUUUGUGGGUGGGUUGACGGUAGCUGGAUAAGAAGCGCCGGCUAACUACGUG